rnacentral:rRNA from 1 species
UACAGGGGGGGCAAGCGUUGUUCGGAAUUACUGGGCGUAAAGGGUUCGUAGGUGGCUAACUAAGUCAGACGUGAAAUCCCUCAGCUUAACUGGGGAACUGCGUCUGAAACUGGAUAGCUUGAGUGCAGGAGAGGAACGCGGAAUUCCAGGUGUAGCGGUGAAAUGCGUAGAUAUCUGGAGGAACACCGGUGGCGAAGGCGGCGUUCUGGACUGCAACUGACACUGAGGAACGAAAGCCAGGGGAGCAAACGGG